rnacentral:tRNA from 1 species
GCGGAUAUGGCGGAAUUGGCAGACGCGCACGGUUCAGGUCCGUGUGAAGGCGACUUCAUGCAGGUUCAACUCCUGUUAUCCGCACCA